rnacentral:rRNA from 1 species
CCUACGGGAGGCAGCAGUGGGGAAUAUUGGGCAAUGGGCGCAAGCCUGACCCAGCAACGCCGCGUGAAGGAAGAAGGCUUUCGGGUUGUAAACUUCUUUUGUCAGGGAAGAGUAGAAGACGGUACCUGACGAAUAAGCCACGGCUAACUACGUGCCAGCAGCCGCGGUAAUACGUAGGUGGCAAGCGUUGUCCGGAUUUACUGGGUGUAAAGGGUGCGCAGGCGGAAGAUUAAGUCAGCGGUAAAAUUGAGAGGCUCAACCUCUGCGAGCCGUUGAAACUGGUUUUCUUGAGUGGGUGAGAAGUAUGCGGAAUGCGUGGUGUAGCGGUGAAAUGCAUAGAUAUCACGCAGAACUCCGAUUGCGAAGGCAGCAUACCGGCGCUCAACUGACGCUCAUGCACGAAAGUGUGGGUAUCGAACAGGAUUAGAUACCCUUGUAGUC